GCUAGUAAUGGCAGGUCAGCAUACUGCCGUGAAUACGUUCCCGGGCCUUGUACACACCGCCCGUCACACCAUGAGAGUUGGAGAUACCCGAAGCCUAUGAGCUAACUUUUAGAGGCAGUAGUCGAAGGUAGAAUCAAUGAUUGGGGUGAAGUCGUAACAAGGUAAC
rnacentral:rRNA from 1 species